rnacentral:rRNA from 1 species
GAUGAACGCUGGCGGCGUGCCUAAUACAUGCAAGUCGAGCGAACAGACGAGGAGCUUGCUCCUCUAACGUUAGCGGCGGACGGGUGAGUAACACGUGGAUAACCUACCUAUAAGACUGGGAUAACUUCGGGAAACCGGAGCUAAUACCGGAUAAUAUAUUGAACCGCAUGGUUCAAUAGUGAAAGACGGUUUUGCUGUCACUUAUAGAUGGAUCCGCGCCGCAUUAGCUAGUUGGUAAGGUAACAGCUUACCAAGGCAACGAUGCGUAGCCGACCUGAGAGGGUGAUCGGCCACACUGGAACUGAGACACGGCCCAGACUCCUACGGGAGGCAGCAGUAGGGAAUCUUCCGCAAUGGGCGAAAGCCUGACGGAGCAACGCCGCGUGAGUGAUGAAGGUCUUCGGAUCGUAAAACUCUGUUAUUAGGGAAGAACAAAUGUGUAAGUAACUAUGCACGUCUUGACGGUACCUAAUCAGAAAGCCACGGCUAACUACGUG